rnacentral:rRNA from 1 species
UUGAACGCUGGCGGCAUGCCUUACACAUGCAAGUCGAACGGUAACGCGGGGCAACCUGGCGACGAGUGGCGAACGGGUGAGUAAUGCAUCGGAACGUGCCCAGUAGUGGGGGAUAGCCCGGCGAAAGCCGGAUUAAUACCGCAUACGACCUACGGGUGAAAGCGGGGGACUCGCAAGAGCCUCGCGCUAUUGGAGCGGCCGAUGUCAGAUUAGGUAGUUGGUGGGGUAAAGGCCUACCAAGCCGACGAUCUGUAGCUGGUCUGAGAGGACGACCAGCCACACUGGGACUGAGACACGGCCCAGACUCCUACGGGAGGCAGCAGUGGGGAAUUUUGGACAAUGGGCGAAAGCCUGAUCCAGCCAUGCCGCGUGCGGGAAGAAGGCCUUCGGGUUGUAAACCGCUUUUGUCAGGGAAGAAAUCCUUUGAGCUAAUACCUCAGAGGGAUGACGGUACCUGAAGAAUAAGCACCGGCUAACUACGU